rnacentral:rRNA from 1 species
CAAUAGCGUAUAUUAAAGUUGUUGCAGUUAGAACGCUCGUAGUCGGAUUUCGGGGCGGGUCGACCGGUCUGCCGAUGGGUACGCACUGGCCGACGCGUCCUUCCUUCCGGAGACCGUCCCUACUCUUAACUGAGCGGGGGCGGGAGACGGAACGUUUACUUUGAAAAAAUCAGAGUGUUUCAAGCAGGCAUCUCGCUCUUGCAUGGAUUAGCAUGGGAUAAUGAAAUAGGACUUUGGUGCUAUUUUGUUGGUUUCGAACACCGAAGUAAUGAUGAGAAGGGACAGUCAGGGGCACUCGUAUUCCGCCGAGAGAGGUGAAAUUCUCAGACCAGCGGAAGACGAACCACUGCGAAAGCAUUUGCCAGGGAUGUUUUCACUGA